rnacentral:rRNA from 1 species
CACGUAGGCACCAAGCGUUGUCCGGAUUUAUUGGGCGUAAAGAGCUCGUAGGCGGUUCGGUAAGUCGGGUGUGAAAACUCUGGGCUCAACCCAGAGCCGCCACCCGAUACUGCUGUGACUCGAGUGCGGUAGGGGAGCGGGGAAUUCCUGGUGUAGCGGUGAAAUGCGCAGAUAUCAGGAGGAACACCAGUGGCGAAGGCGGCUCACUGGCCCGAUACUGACGCUGAGGCGCGAAAGCUAGGGGAGCGAACGGG